rnacentral:lncRNA from 1 species
ACCUUAGGUGUCGAUCUUUCCGAAUGAGUCUUCGUCCUCCAAUUUGAAUCUUUUCUCAAAAACUUCUGCGAUCAACUCUUCAAGACUCCAAACAACUUUACGAAAUUCGCCAACCUAUAAAAUCCUUAACAAUCUUUAGCAUUCUUGUGCUUCACAUUCCUUAUUCUCAUUGCCCCACUUUAUCUUAACUCUACACAUUGUCAUUAUCAUCAUUCUUUACAUCACUUUGGUUCUUUGACUCACACUAACUCUAGUGUCACUUUACCUUAUGUUUUCAAAUGCCACUCGAUCUUGUCAUUGUGUCACUCUGUUCUUUUGCUCACUUUGGGUGCUCACUUUUUUCUCAUUCAUACACAUAGGGUUUUCGACAAUCACAUAGUUCUCACUCAUCAUAUUAUGCAGGUUGUACUCACAAUCAUGCAUCAUUACAUUUUCAUCAUUACUUUACCCUAAAAUGCAUGCAACAAUAUAUACAUAUAUGCUCAAAUGAAUGACACAUUAGGCAUAGAGAGAAGUUCAAUGAGUUUGAGAAGCACCACCCACCUUGUAGGUCUAUUUAGGUGCUCCGAUGAUUUUCUUGAGAUUUUUAGACCUUUCGUUCUUUACCUGCGGCAUAACGAAGCCAAAUUAGGCUUAUUUCGCCAUAACUUUGCAUACACUUUUCGUAAUGCUAUUCCGAGCGCACCAACGCGUCGGAAAUACCCCCAAUUAGGUUUCUAGAGGGUCAAUUGCACUUAGAAAUCCCCAUGAGCAAAAGCCCCAAUUUGGUGCCCUAGCUCCAAUACAUAUAUCAAACCUAGGGUUUGAUCUCAUUGGGAAGCAAAAGUAGCUUCAAUAUACUCUAAAGAGUUCAUCUAAACCAUUCCUAGCUCAUUCCAAACCCUAGUUUGGAUUUCACCAUGAGAGGUGGGUUGAAGCUCACCUUUGAG